rnacentral:rRNA from 1 species
GCACAAGCGGUGGAUGAUGUGGUUAAUCCGAUGCAACGCGAAAACCUUACCCACCUUUGACAUGUACGGAAUCCUUUAGAGAUAGAGGAGUGCUCGAAAGAGAGCCGUAACACAGGUGCUGCAUGGCUGUCGUCAGCUCGUGUCGUGAGAUGUUGGGUUAAGUCCCGCAACGAGCGCAACCCUUGUCAUUAGUUGCUACAUUCAGUUGGGCACUCUAAUGAGACUGCCGGUGACAAACCGGAGGAAGGUGGGGAUGACGUCAAGUCCUCAUGGCCCUUAUGGGUAGGGCUUCACACGUCAUACAAUGGUCGGUACAGAGGGUUGCCAACCCGCGAGGGGGAGCUAAUCCCACAAAGCCGAUCGUAGUCCGGAUCGCAGUCUGCAACUCGACUGCGUGAAGUCGGAAUCGCUAGUAAUCGUGGAUCAGCAUGUCACGGUGAAUACGUUCCCGGGUCUU